GAGUUUGAUCCUGGCUCAGAUUGAACGCUGGCGGCAGGCCUAACACAUGCAAGUCGAGCGGUAGAGAGAAGCUUGCUUCUCUUGAGAGCGGCGGACGGGUGAGUAAUGCCUAGGAAUCUGCCUGGUAGUGGGGGAUAACGCUCGGAAACGGACGCUAAUACCGCAUACGUCCUACGGGAGAAAGCAGGGGACCUUCGGGCCUUGCGCUAUCAGAUGAGCCUAGGUCGGAUUAGCUAGUUGGUGAGGUAAUGGCUCACCAAGGCGACGAUCCGUAACUGGUCUGAGAGGAUGAUCAGUCACACUGGAACUGAGACACGGUCCAGACUCCUACGGGAGGCAGCAGUGGGGAAUAUUGGACAAUGGGCGAAAGCCUGAUCCAGCCAUGCCGCGUGUGUGAAGAAGGUCUUCGGAUUGUAAAGCACUUUAAGUUGGGAGGAAGGGCAGUAAAUUAAUACUUUGCUGUUUUGACGUUACCGACAGAAUAAGCACCGGCUAACUCUGUGCCAGCA
rnacentral:rRNA from 1 species